rnacentral:rRNA from 1 species
UACAGAGGUCCCAAGCGUUGUUCGGAUUCAUUGGGCGUAAAGGGUGCGUAGGCGGCGCGGUAAGUCGGGUGUGAAAUCUCGGGGCUUAACUCCGAAACUGCAUUCGAUACUGGCGUGCUUGAGGACUGGAGAGGAGACUGGAAUUCAUGGUGUAGCAGUGAAAUGCGUAGAGAUCAUGAGGAAGACCAGUGGCGAAGGCGGGUCUCUGGACAGUUCCUGACACUGAGACACGAAGGCCAGGGGAGCAAACGGG